UUUUAAAUUUAGAGUUUGAUCCUGGCUCAGGACGAACGCUGGCGGCGUGCUUAACACAUGCAAGUCGAGCGAUGAAGCUUCCUUCGGGAGGUGGA
rnacentral:rRNA from 1 species